GGGAUGAACUGUCCCCUACACAAGAAAAAUCUUCUCUUUCAUGCAUCCAUUUCACUCUGUGUCUGGAGUUAAUCUGAGUGGAGGCUUCCACGACUCUGCCAGGGCUCCUGCCCUUGGUGGAGUCUUCCUGCUUGCCCCUGUGCCAUGCUGGCUGAGCUAAUUCAGGGAAAAAUAACCUUGAAAUGUGCUCUGUGUUGGGCCAAAUCAGCCCUGUGUGAUGGCUGUUUGCAUGGCCACAGACAGUGCCUGCUGCAAGGGAAGGGGCUGGGAAGGCAGGUCCUGCCUUGGCAGAAUUAGAGGGGUUUAAAUUGCAAGAGGACUGACUAGGGUUGAGCAGAAAGGAGAAGAAAUUAGUCCACAAAUCCCUGGAGCUGGCUGGCAUCAAUCCAAGCAGUCCCUGACCAGAACCCAGCACCCACCGAGCUGCUGGAUGACAUGCACCUGGCCUGAAGGAGCUGGUUGGGAGGAGACCAUGAGUUUUAAGAAGCUGCAUUGGGUGCAGAAGAGCACAGGGACUGUGAUGGAGAGAGUCCUGCCUGGGCCAGAUGUGGCCUUAGAGACCAAAGGGGGAAUUGCAGUGGUGAGGCACAGCCUGGACCUGAUCCUGCCAUUUUUUUUCACGAGGAUCAAAAGGCCACUGAGAUUACCAAGCUUUCAACCUUCAACUCCCCCAGGACUUGGAGGCUGAGGGGGUCCUGUAUUGCUUUGGCCAAGCAAUCAAAGUUUAUAGAGGCUUCUCAGUAGGAUGGGUGGAAGAAACACAGAGAGCAGGAAGCAACUGCUGAAACUGCCAGUGAUUAAAAUGCAAUAAAAUGUUUGCCUUCUGCUGCUGAGCA
rnacentral:lncRNA from 1 species